GCCACCUUGCUUCCUGUCCAGUGUGCUCGGGUCACUGCCUGUUCUAGGGGCUUUGUGUUAUUUGCUGGUAACGCGCCUGUUUGAUUCCAGGUCCUGCUGGUCGGGGCCGACGACUUCACGCUGCUCGGCAGACCCCUCCUCGGAAAGGAUCUUGUUCAAGUAGAAGCUACAGUCAUUGAAAAGACAGAAUCGUGGCCAAAAAUCAAUAUGAGAUUCAAGAAAAGGAAAAACUACAAAAGGAAAAGAAGUAAGUUGGAGAAAGCGUGGCUGCUGCGUUCCCGUCCUCUGGGUGUCGCCCCACGUCCUGCGCUGGGCCAGUUAUCGUGAGUCCUCAGACCGUCCUCCGGAUAAACACCAUCAAGAUUGCUCCAUGUCUGUGCUGAUCGUCCAGCUAAUGUUUCUAGAAAUAGAAAAAUAUAUCCAUUUUCCGAGGA